UACGUAGGGUGCGAGCGUUGCCCGGAUUUAUUGGGCGUAAAGGGCGCGUAGGCGGCUCGACACGUUCGUUGUGAAAUCGCCCGGCUCAACUGGGCGGGGUCAGCGAAUACGGUCGAGCUUGAGCAAGCUAGGGGGCAAUGGAAUUCCCGGUGUAGUGGUGGAAUGCGUAGAUAUCGGGAGGAACACCAGUGGCGAAGGCGGUUCUCUGGUCUGUCUCUGACGCUGAGGAGCGAAAGCGUGGGGAGCGAACGGG
rnacentral:rRNA from 1 species